GUACACUCCUACGGGAGGCAGCAGUGGGGAAUAUUGCACAAUGGGCGCAAGCCUGAUGCAGCCAUGCCGCGUGUAUGAAGAAGGCCUUCGGGUUGUAAAGUACUUUCAGCGGGGAGGAAGGCAAUACGGUUAAUAACCGUGUUGAUUGACGUUACCCGCAUAAGAAGCACCGGCUAACUCCGUGCCAGCAGCCGCGGUAAUACGGAGGGUGCAAGCGUUAAUCGGAAUUACUGGGCGUAAAGCGCACGCAGGCGGUCUGUCAAGUCGGAUGUGAAAUCCCCGGGCUCAACCUGGGAACUGCAUUCGAAACUGGCAGGCUUGAGUCUUGUAGAGGGGGGUAGAAUUCCAGGUGUAGCGGUGAAAUGCGUAGAGAUCUGGAGGAAUACCGGUGGCGAAGGCGGCCCCCUGGACAAAGACUGACGCUCAGGUGCGAAAGCGUGGGGAGCAAACAGGAUUAGAAACCCUUGUAGUCCCAUGAU
rnacentral:rRNA from 1 species